rnacentral:lncRNA from 1 species
UUAUUAAUUUAUUAUUUUCCUUUUUAAAAGGCACAAAAAUCAGCCCAUCUUCCACCCCAUGGCCGGCCAAAUCAGCAAGAAGAGAGAGAAAAUAAAAACAAAACCCUAGAGAGAGAAAAUCAAAGAAAAAGUGUGAAUUUUCAAGGAAAUUAAGUGAAAAAUGUGAGAUUUUUUCUAUUAAGCUUGAGUUUUCUUAUUCCCAAGCAUUUCUCCUUAUUUUCCAUGAUUAAAUUGCAUGUUUUCAUGGUGAUUUAAUGGCUGGUCAUAUGGGUCUAGAGAGAGAAAAUUGUUGGUUUAAGUUGAUUUUGAUAUAUGUUAGUGUUUAGUUUUAGUUUAGCAUGUUAGUAAACAAAAUAUGUAGAAAAACAUUCAUUUUUCUCAUUACCUAGCCUUAGCUGAAUUUUCAAGUCAAUGGUGAGGAAGAAUGUGAUGUUAUUAUAGGUUAUUUGAUUAUGAAAUCAUGGUUUUUGAUAUGGAAAUUAAUGAAUUAUAGAAAGAAAAUCAAGUAGGAAAAAUUGUGACAAUGAUACACCAUUUUGGCCGAAUUUUUCCAAGAAGGAAUAUGAAUGUGGCUUUGCUGAUUUUUGGGUUAUUUGGCUGGACAUUGGUGAUUUGAAGCAUAAGAAAAAAGAAAUGGGAUUAAUUGGAGCUAAAUUGGAUGCGUAUUUUAAUUUAUCGGGUAAAAGACCGAAAUAGGUCAAUACGGUGUUUAGGCAAAAUUUAGACCUUUUGCAUUUCAUACCAUGCAUUAGUGAUCUAAAUUAGUUAGUUCAAUUUAAGGGCAACGUAGUAAAUUCCUUGAUUUUAUACUGUGUCAAGGUGGUGUGCCCUUCGACAAAGGCAAGGAAAUUACGCNUGUGAGUAAACCUAUUAUCGUCUAAAUUAUUUAGAGUAGUUUUUAUUCAAUUUUGUGAUUUGUGAAAAUUAUUUUAAAUGAUGAAUUUCUUGUUUUAUGAGAAGAAUAUGAAUUUAUAAAAUAAAUGGAAUUAUAAAAUAAAUUGAUUUGCAAAUAGAAUAUUGGAUUUGAAAAUUUGAGUAAUUGGAGACCAUGUGAUUUAUUGUAAAUUAUGAUUUGAAUUAAAUGACUUGUGAUAAAUUGGCAUGAUUGGUUGAAUUUAUACUUGUGUUAAAAAAUAUGAACUGUCUGUUUUGCCUUGAUAAAUUGGUUAGUAAUGUAAUUGCCAUGCUUUGCCAUUGAAAUUUGAUCAAUUGGUGGAUUAAAGAUUAGCUACUGCAAUGGCGAGGUUCCGUGGACCAGCCUAUUAGAGGGGCACGGUAAACUCCUUUAUAUUUUCACCUCGAUCGUAGAAGUGCGUAGGGUAUCUCCUGAGGUGGGCUUUUUGAGUGCACUUCACGUUAACCACCACGUGAAGUGAGACUCAGUCAACGCCAAGGAACGACUAUUUUUUUUUUAAAUAAAAACAAGUUUUAUGAUUAUAUAAAAUUUUUCACAGCCUUGACGGACUUGGUUGGGUACCCCUGGUCCAGGUGUCCCCGAGUACAGGAUUUGACAUGAGCCAAGUUUUGAGAAAUUCACGAGCUAUAUUUAUUAUUUGGUUGAAAUGAAUAUUCGUGUUGUGAGAAAUUUGCUAAAAUGAAGUAUUUUUAAUUGUCUUCCUUUACUCGCCUUUAGAUUAUUUAGAUGGUGUUUGUUUACUCACUGAGAUUUUAUAAUCUCACCCUUUUUUUUAUCCCAUCAUUUCAGGCCGGGUUAGCCUGUAGAUAGCAGACAUCGUCGAGAACUAUAGUUGGCCAUACUACUUCAAAAAUUGUAGGUUUACUGUCUUUACUACUUUUGUUCAUUUGUGGGCCCACGUAACACUGUAAAUUAAAUUUCAUACUUUGGUUUUUCGUAUUAUAGUUUGUAUAAAUAUAUUUAACUUCUAC